ACCGAGCGAUGAAAGCCUGGUGGA
rnacentral:siRNA from 1 species